rnacentral:siRNA from 1 species
UCGAUCCUAUUGUGUUGGCCU